rnacentral:lncRNA from 1 species
CAUCACAGUGCAGGAACCCCAAACUGCAGAUUCUGGUCACCAGUCAUGUUCUUCACACAGCUUAAUAAUCCCACAACAACAAUAACAAUAACAACUAGAAAAGCACUCGGAGAGUGCAGACCUCCUUCAAGCAGCUCAUGUCCCCCGUUAUAUUGUGAUUCACACCAAAACUUUUAGUGUUACGUGUCUUUUAUUAGUUUUUAUUUGUGUUUAAACUGGUAUGUUCACUGUUCAUAAAACAAGAAAUGCCCUGACCCGGAUUCGAACCCAGGACCUUCUUGCUGUGAGGUGACAGUGCUAACCACUACACUACUGUGCCGCCCAUCUAUACCACUGUGCCACCCAUUGGUUAUCCUUCAGCACUGAAAAUUCCAACAACACCCUUAUUUUUGUGUGUUCUGGAUCACAGUAUCUGGAAUUUUGUCUGGAUCAGGAUCAACCUUUGACACCUCAUAAAACUCAUUGAGAUCCUUUUGUGUCAUUUUUUAAUAAAGACUCAGGCCAUUUUUAUAGAGUUAAAUGCAAAAAUUCCAAAAUUUGCCCUAUCUCACAAUGACAAAGAAUCCUUCAAAAAAUUCCUGGUUCCAGAAGGCAAUCCGGAUCACCACCAAAAUGUAAUGGGAUCGUCCUGGGGCUGAGACGCACCUCUGGUGAAAAUUUCAGGUCAAUCCGUCUGUAACUUUCUCCGUAAAGUUGUCCACAGACAAACAAACCAACCAACAAACUAACGCUACCAAAAACAUAACCUCCUUGGCAGAGGUCAUAACAACAACAAAAUGCCACUGCUGACUGAAAAACAAGCAGCACUGAUAAAGGAUGCGCCCUGAAAGUAAAAAACAAAAAACAGCUGGAGGGGGAAGAUACAACUUCAGGAUUAAACUUCCUCUGUUACUUCCUCCAAGACCUCCAGACUUCAACAGAGGAGAGACGGCAGUGCUGGUCAGCUGUCUCAACUUGUAUGGAGAGACUUAAUGGGUUCUGCUGAUCUGAUCAUUGUCAUGAUGCGGGGCCAUAACUUAAAUCUAACAGAAAGACCUCUCAGUUUUCAAAAGAGGCUGUUUUUUCACAGCAAUGCUCAUCAGUGUCACUUCACCCUCACAGACCAGUCAAAACCAAGGAAGGGACUAACACCUUCAAAUUUGUUUCAGAGUUAUUGCAGCUGCUGAUUCCAGAAGCAAAAUAUUGUGCAAACAUGAAUGUAACUGAAGCACCUGAGGAUGGUAACUCAGAAAUAUAAGCUGUUUUACACUGAGCUGAAAAGUGUUCUACAUGAAUCAGAGAGACCAAAUUACUGUGCAACACCUCUGACUGUCACUGCUGUUCAGCCUUAGGUUUGAGCAGCAAACCUGCACCUGAAUGCAUCACCAAGAAGCUGAUAAAAUGAGGACGUGCUGCUGUCCCACAUUUCAGACAUGACUACGGAAUUACUACACUGAUGAUAACCCACGCACACAGUUCUCUUUGCAUGCAUUCUAUGCAAAGAGAACUCAUCCAUCCAUCCAUCCAUCCAUCCAUCCAUCCUCUCAUCCAUCCAUCUAUCUGUCCAUUCUCUCAUCCAUCCAUUCAUCCAUCCAUGCAUAUAUACAUCUAGGCAUGACCCAUCCAUCCACUCAAAAUUCUAUCCAUUGAUCUACUCAUCCAUCCAUCCAUCUUUACAUCCACCCAUAAUCUUUGAUUAAUCUAUUGUUCCCUCCAUCCCUCCCUCCCUGAAUCUCUCCAUCCUCCCUCCAUCCUCCCAUCCCACUCUCCAUCCAUCCAUUUAUUCAUCCUUCCAUCCAUCCAUCCAUCCAUCUUAAGGGUCGUUCCUGCAGUUGUGAUUAUGUAAAUUCUCCAGACGCUCUGUUCUCCUGCAGUCUGAUGUAAAAGCUCGGCCAGCUCUCCCUCUGUAUUUAUCCCGUGUCGAGCGGAUGCAUUACCAGGCAUGGGUGUUUUAUUUGCUGUGUUUAACCAGGUUUUACAGAUCAGGGCUCUGAUAUAUAAAGAUGCAUCUUCUUUUGUAGCGGUGUGAGUCUUCAGCCUCCAUCUGCAGCCUGAUUGACGCUUCUAUUCACCUAUAAGUGCUGCCUUCACUGCAGCUCCUCAGCUUUUAUUUUCAAAUGGAUGUUUGGCUUUAAAGCAAUCCCUUUCACUGGCUCCUUUCACUGCCACCGGGAAGUAGAAAUAUAGAAAUAAAUGUGAAAAUAAUAACAGCAUGGCCCUUAAUGUUUCUCUCUCUCUCUCUCUCUCUCUCUCUCUCUCUCUCUCUCUCUCUCUCUCUCUCUCUCUCUCUCUCCCUGCACUCGGCUGGAAUCACAGAGCGACUGUAUUACAGAAAAAGCUUUUCAGCAACAACA